rnacentral:rRNA from 1 species
UACAGAGGGUGCGAGCGUUGUUCGGAAUUAUUGGGCGUAAAGGGCGCGUAGGCGGCGCCACAAGUCACUUGUGAAAACUCUGGGCUCAACUCAGAGCCUGCAAGCGAAACUGUGGUGCUGGAGUAUGGGAGAGGUGCGUGGAAUUCCCGGUGUAGCGGUGAAAUGCGUAGAUAUCAGGAGGAACACCGAUGGCGAAGGCAGCUGCCUGGCCUAACACUGACGCUGAGGUGCGAAAGCGUGGGGAGCGAACAGG